rnacentral:rRNA from 1 species
UUCUGGGAGGAUUGACAGACUGAAAGCUCUUUCUUGAUUAGGUGGAUGUUGGUACAUGUCCGUUCUUAGUUGGUGGAGCGAUUUAUCUGGUUAAUUCCGAUAACGAACGAGACAUUAGAGAGUUUUAGUAGAUCGUUCCGAUACCUCCGAUAGCCCCGAUAACGAUACUAUGCAUGCACAAGGGAGGCGGUGGCGGAGUAUCGGGUAUCGUUAUCGGAGUCAUGGGAACGAUCUACUAAAACUCUCUAUUAGCCUAUUAGAGAGCUGCAUGGUUCUCUGCACCUUACAUCCUUCUUAGAGGGACAAGCGGCUCCUAGCCGCACGAAAAAGAGCAAUAACAGGUACGUGAGGCCCUUAAAU